UACCUGGUUGAUUCUGCCAGUAGUCAUAUGCUUGUCUCAAAGAUUAAGCCAUGCAUGUCUAAGUAUAAGCAAUUUGUACGGUGAAACUGCGAAUGGCUCAUUAAAUCAGUUAUCGUUUAUUUGAUAGUACCUUACUACAUGGAUACCCGUGGUAAUUCUAGAGCUAAUACAUGCUAAAAACCUCGACUUCGGAAGGGGUGUAUUUAUUAGAUAAAAAACCAAUGCCCUUCGGGGCUCUUUGGUGAUUCAUAAUAACUUGUCGAAUCGCAUGGCCUUGCGCUGGCGAUGGUUCAUUCAAAUUUCUGCCCUAUCAACUUUCGAUGGUAGGAUAGUGGCCUACCAUGGUGGCAACGGGUAACGGGGAAUUAGGGUUCGAUUCCGGAGAGGGAGCCUGAGAAACGGCUACCACAUCCAAGGAAGGCAGCAGGCGCGCAAAUUACCCAAUCCCAACACGGGGAGGUAGUGACAAUAAAUACUGAUACAGGGCUCUUUCGGGUCUUGUAAUUGGAAUGAGUACAAUUUAAAUCCCUUAACGAGGAACAAUUGGAGGGCAAGUCUGGUGCCAGCAGCCGCGGUAAUCCAGCU
rnacentral:ncRNA from 1 species